UUUAUUGAGAGUUUGAUCCUGGCUCAGGAUGAACGCUGGCGGCGUGCUUAACACAUGCAAGUCGAACGGAGAACCCUUGACGGAGUUUUCGGACAACGGAUAGGAAUUCUUAGUGGCGGACGGGUGAGUAACGCGUGAGGAACCUGCCUUGGAGAGGGGAAUAACACAGAGAAAUUUGUGCUAAUACCGCAUGAUGCAGUUGGGUCGCAUGGCUCUGACUGCCAAAGAUUUUAUCGCUCUGAGAUGGCCUCGCGUCUGAUUAGCUAGUUGGUGGGGCAACGGCCCACCAAGGCGACGAUCAGUAGCCGGACUGAGAGGUUGACCGGCCACAUUGGGACUGAGACACGGCCCAGACUCCUACGGGAGGCAGCAGUGGGGAAUAUUGGGCAAUGGGCGCAAGCCUGACCCAGCAACGCCGCGUGAAGGAAGA
rnacentral:rRNA from 1 species